rnacentral:rRNA from 1 species
UACGUAGGCAGCAAGCGUUGUUCGGAGUUACUGGGCGUAAAGAGUGCGUAGGCGGUCCGGUAAGUCCGCUGUGAAAGUCGGGGGCUCAACCCUCGAAUGCCGGUGGAUACUGUCGGGCUAGAGUGCGGAAGAGGCGAGUGGAAUUCCUGGUGUAGCGGUGAAAUGCGCAGAUAUCAGGAGGAACACCUAUGGCGAAGGCAGCUCGCUGGGACGGAACUGACGCUGAGACGCGAAAGCGUGGGGAGCAAACAGG